AAAAAUUGGGAUCGAGAAAUCGAUCGUACGAGUUGGGGGUUCGAUUCGUGUUCGGAAUCGAGUUCUUCCUCUUCCUCUGAUUGGUCGCCGAAGAGAUUCUGCAUCAUCUGGUGCCGCUUCUCUUCCCCCAUCGUUUUGAUCUCUCUGUGUGUGCGUGUGCGUGUGCGUGUGAAUUGAAGAAUGAAACGUAGCACGGUGGAGAGUAUGAAAAGCUUGUUCACCGGCACCGGUUAAACAGAAAACCUGAGUUUGAUUUUGAUAUUUUAUUUUGUCUAGUUGAUAUUUUUUUGUGUAGAAAACUUGCGUUUGUUUCCCACUGGGAGCCAGCCACGGAGUGAUA
rnacentral:lncRNA from 1 species